ensembl:lncRNA
AUGCACACACAGCUGCUCGUAUAUACCCAUGCACACACGUGCAUGCACACACACAUAUGCACCAAUGCACACACAUCACACACGUAUGUACCCAUUUCACACACACACGCACAGGCACAUGUAUGCAUGCAAAAAGAGCCAGUCUCUCCUCUCCCCGCCAGAGUCCUGUGGGCCCUGCUGGGCACCGGGCAUAUGCUCUGUCAGCCCCGUGUGCCAGGACACAUGUGGGGGCUCCUGCCCUACGGGAGCUCAGCUCUGGCUCGGGAAAUACAACACGUGCUCAAAGACUCCGGGUGGUGGAGGGAUAAACUCUGCCUUGCCAUCACCCAGCCUCAGUGGCCAUCACCCCCUUUCUCUUCCUUGGCUGGCAAAGGUGGAGACCUACCCAGUAUGAAAGGUGACAUUUGGGGAGCCGGAGGCAACCUGGUGGAUGUCACAGAGCGAGCUGAGGUGGAAAACGCAGAUGCUGGCCGGCAGUGAACCGUGGCUUUGCGAGGAGGACGAGGAGACAGAGUCUUGCCUUUUCCAGGACACAGCUGCUGUCCCCUGAUGCCCAGCUGUCAUUAGCAUCCUUCAGGGGCCCUCCCCCGUUAGCCUCAGAUUUCAAGUUAGUUCUGCUUCCUCUAUUCAAAUCUUUCUGGUUUAGCUCAGCUGGAAGGACCCCCAAAAUUAUCUGAUUAAAAUAAUUUACAUGGUCUUGUAAAGACUGAUCAGCGGAAGCUUCCUGAGAGUUUUUGCCUCCCCGUUCCUUUUGAACAUGCAUCAGCCACAGCUAGGCGGUUGACCUGGGUGGUGACUGACUACAUCUCUGCCUCCCCAGCCCCUCGGGCUUCCAGGUGGUGCUGGAGGUAAAGAACCCAUCUGCCGAUGCAGGAGACGUGACAGACGUGGAUUCAGUCCCUGGGUCAGGAGGAUCCCCUGGAGGAGGGCCUGGCAGCCCACUCCAGGAUUCUCACCUGGAGAGUCCCAUGGACAGAGGAGCCUGGCAGGCUACAGUCCACGGGGUCACAGAGUGGACAUGACUGAGCGACUGAGCACACCCAAGCCCUCGGGCUGGAGGAAAGCACUCCGUAGGGCAUACCGGUGUUCUGGAGCACUGUCGGGCCCUCCUCUGAAGAUAGCGGAUUUGGGGUGGGAGUGGUCUCUCUGUGCUCCCGCACUUCGCUUGGGCGGGCUGCUGUCUGGGGGUGGGGGGCACCCUGCACUCCCCUGGAGCUGACAGUGAUGGAUAUGGUCAGAUUUGGAACCAGACGGGGAUGAGCGGAGGUUCUCAUCCUGGUCAGCCCAGCCUCCCCCGGUCCUGCUCCCCAGCUGCAGAUCCAGACCUUGGGCUCCUCCAGCUAUCAGAAGUCUGUCUGCAUGGACUCAGGGAGGUCCUAGCAGCAUCCCAGGGUGCGGGACCU